UGCAUUCCAACGAUUCAACAGCUGAGGUUGAGUCAUUGCUACAGUCAUUCGUCACGUUACAAAGCUGUAGCAGAGCAGCGUGACCACCAAGCGGCGAGUGUUGAGAACUGCAUGCAGGGAGGUUUCCUGGGAAAACACAAGGAGAGCUCAUCCUCGUCCUCAUCCUCACCUCCCACCCGCUUGCGGUGCUCGCUGUUAAAGAAGCGCCGAGGCGAUCCAAGCGCACCAGGGACGUGAACGCAGCGCGGUGCUCGGUCGCAGCUCUGAGUAGAAUUAAAACGGGGCUAAAUACAUCCGUCGAGGACCGUCCUCUCGGCCACGAUGGGGAACCGGGACAUGGAGGAUCUGAUCCCCCUGGUGAACCGCAUGCAGGAUGCCUUCUCCGCCAUCGGCCAGAACGCCAACCUGGAUCUGCCUCAGAUCGCCGUGGUGGGUGGACAGAGUGCCGGGAAGAGCUCGGUGCUGGAGAACUUUGUGGGAAAGGAUUUCCUUCCACGUGGUUCUGGUAUCGUGACCCGUCGUCCUUUGGUUCUGCAGCUGAUGAACUGUCCCACAGAGUACGCCGAGUUCCUCCACUGUAAGGGAAAAAAGUUUACAGACUUUGAUGAGGUUCGUCAGGAGAUCGAGGCUGAGACUGACCGCAUGACGGGCGCCAACAAGGGCAUUUCGCCCGUUCCUAUCAACCUACGCGUGUACUCCCCUCAUGUGCUCAACUUGACGCUGGUGGAUCUGCCUGGCAUGACCAAAGUACCUGUGGGCGACCAGCCAGCUGACAUUGAGACUCAGAUUCGGGACAUGCUGCUGCAGUUUGUCACAAAAGACAACUCCCUGAUGCUUGCUGUUUCGCCAGCCAACUCGGAUCUGGCCAACUCGGACGCUUUAAAGAUUGCCAAAGAGGUCGACCCGCAGGGUAUGAGGACCAUCGGCGUGAUCACCAAACUGGACCUCAUGGACGAGGGGACGGAUGCCAAGGACAUCCUGGAGAAUAAGCUGCUUCCGCUCAGAAGAGGCUACGUUGGUGUGGUCAACCGGAGCCAAAAGGACAUUGAUGGAAAGAAAGACAUCACCGCUGCCCUGAGCGCCGAGAGGAAGUUCUUUCUCUCUCACCCUGCUUACAGGCACCUGGCCGACCGCAUGGGCACAGCGUACCUGCAGAAAAUCCUGAACCAGCAACUCACCAACCACAUCCGGGACACGCUGCCAGCUCUGCGCGCCAAGCUACAGAGCCAGCUACUUUCCAUCGAAAAGGAGGUGGAGGAGUACAAGAACUUCAGGCCUGACGAUCCGUCGCGCAAGACCAAAGCUCUGCUCCAGAUGGUGCAGCAGUUCUCUGUUGACUUCGAGAAGUGCAUCGAGGGCUCCGGGGACCAGAUCGACACGGCCGAGCUGUCCGGCGGUGCCAAGAUCAACCGCAUCUUCCACGAACGCUUCCCCUUUGAGCUGGUCAAGAUGGAGUUUGACGAGAAGGAGCUCCGCAAGGAGAUCAGCUACGCCAUCAAGAACAUCCAUGGCAUCAGAACUGGUCUCUUCACCCCGGACAUGGCCUUUGAGACCAUUGUGAAAAGGCAGAUUGGGAAGAUAAAAGAGCCUUGCACCAAAUGUGUGGAUAUGGUCAUGUCUGAGCUAGUCAAUACGGUUAGACAGUGUACCAAAAAGCUGGCCCAGUACCCGAUGCUGAGAGAAGAGAUGGAGAGAAUCGUUACUCAGCACAUCAGAGACAGAGAGAGCCGCACUAAAAGCCAGGUGCUCCUGCUGAUCGACAUCGAGUUGUCCUACAUGAACACCAACCAUGAGGACUUCAUUGGCUUCGCCAACGCCCAACAGAGGAUCAACCAGGUGAACAAGAAGAAGGCAGCUGGAAAUCAGGAUGAGAUCAUGCCGGAGAGAGGAAUUAACGAUCGGUUCAAGGUGAUCCGAAAGGGAUGGUUGACUAUCAACAACAUUGGAAUCAUGAAAGGCGGAGCCAAGGAGUACUGGUUUGUCCUCACCGCCGAGUCGCUGUCCUGGUACAAGGAUGACGAGGAGAAGGAGAAGAAAUACAUGCUGCAGGUGGACAACUUGAGGCUACGAGAUGUCGAGAAAGGCUUCAUGUCCAGCAAGCACAUUUUCGCCCUUUUCAACACCGAGCAAAGAAAUGUUUACAAGGACUACCGUCAGCUGGAGUUGGCCUGCGAGAGUCAGGAGGACAUCGAUGCAUGGAAGGCCUCCUUCCUGCGAGCCGGCGUGUACCCUGAACGCGUCACGGACAAGGAAGGAAAGAGCGACACAGGUGACGAAAACGGCUCUGACGGUUUCAUGAACAGCAUAGACCCCCAGCUGGAGCGUCAAGUGGAGACCAUCCGCAACCUGGUCGACUCCUACAUGGCCAUCGUCAGCAAAACAGUCCGCGACCUGAUGCCCAAGACCAUCAUGCACCUCAUGAUUAAUAACUGUAAAGACUUCAUAAAUGCCGAGCUGCUGGCCCAGUUGUACUCGUGCGGCGACCAGAACACGCUGAUGGAAGAAUCUCAGGAGCAGGCGCAGCACCGCGACGAAAUGCUGCGGAUGUACCACGCCCUGCGAGAGGCGCUCCACAUCAUCGGCGACAUCAGCACGACCACUGUCUCUACGGCCAUGCCGCCGCCUGUGGACGACUCGUGGCUGCAGGUCCAGCGGGGCGGAUCUGGAGGAAGGUCUCCCGCCACCAGUCCGACUCCGAACCGCAGGGCGCCCCCGGGCCCCCCAGCUCGCCCUGGUUCUCGCGGGCCUCCUCCUGCCGGGGGACCCCCCGUACCGUCCCGCCCCGGGGCUUCUCCAGACCCUUACAGCGGGCUGCCGCCCACUGUGCCCUCUCGCCCCAACCGCGCACCCCCGAGUGUGCCCAGGGGGAUGUGAAGACAUCUGGAUGAGGGCGUACAGGAGAAUCACUAUCACUGACCAAUGAGGACUAAUCGUUCUGAAUGCUGCAUGGGAACACACACACACACACAACUGAAACGUGUGUUGCGUGAAUUUUCAGCAUUAGCUCCCGAAAGAACUCAACUUAAUUGUUAGCCUCCAUUUUGUCGGUGUUAUGAUGUGUGUGAGAUGUACCAUUACACCCCAUCCGCCCUCUUUAGCAACCAUUUUAGAAAUGUCAACAACAACAAAAAAGAACUCCCUUACAUAAUGCUGAUUUGUAAGGUGGUUAGCCAAUAUUAGCUACCGAGGCUAGUAGUGGUAGACUAAAAUUCUUUGCAAAUUGUUGAAUAAAAUGUCUAGUCUCUGGACCCCAGUUUUGGUGAAGCAUUACAAAUAUCUCGUGAUGAAUGAUGGAAAUCAUAAUUAUAGAAGAUAACAAUUGUUGUUGCUUAGCUUAGUUUAGUGUGGUGGCCAGGGCUAACGAACAAAUUCAAAACAUUACUUUUUUUUUUUUUUUUCAUCUGAAUAAGAAUCAAAUGUCAUGUUGUGAGGUCUUACAAGAAGUCACAUACUAAACGUGGCCACGUUUUAGCUCAUUAAAGGCUAAGCUAAACUUAGCAAACCUUUCUAGCCAAACUAACAGCAUUUACUUGCUGGCUUGUAGAAGAAUUGUGAUGUAUACAGUGAUGUAUGUAUGUAUAUUUAUAGAUUGUAAAAGUUGGCCAGCGGUAUCCUUUAUUUGUAGCCUUAUAAGCUAAGUUUAACUUAACGUUACCAAUUAGCCAUAGGCUAUUACCAGCAUCUACUGUAAAUGCUAGUUUGUAGUAAACGUAGAAGUAUCAAGUACAGGUACAGUACACAGUACAAGAUGUAAAUGUUACCCAGUGGUUUCCUACAGUAAGGAACCUUCAAGCUAAUCUAUGCUAUGCUAACUAUCGUAAGUAUCAGCAUUUAUGUGCUAGUUUUUACAGUAGGAUAUUGGAAUCAUAGUGUUACAAGGUUACAUGUUAUAUUUUGGCCAGUGGUUUCCUUAGACCUCAAGCUAAAAUAAGCUAAGCUAUGCUAAUGAGCUGCUGCCAUGAACAGCUAACGCUGGGAGCGAGGGUUACCAAUGAUGGUUGUUGCGUUAUGUUCUUGAAUGAAAACCCACAGUUCCUCCCUGAGAUGUUGUCUUUCGAGCCUAUGAUAUUUCAACCCAUGGUGGCGCUCUAACGACUCCAAACAAGCCAACGUUAACCCCCGUGUGUGUGUGUGUGUGUGUCCCCUCCCACCCUCUUUGUGUGUGUCCCGACAGUCGGAGACCCCCACCUUCUCCGACCCACUAGACCUCCAUGCUCCUCCUCCCUCCCCUUCUUCGGUCCCUCCUCUUCGGGCCGACGGCGCCAUCUUCCUGUCUUCUGCGGCGGUGGCUCCAUCCUCCUGCUCGUACCGCCAACCCUCAAAUUACGCUACCUGUUAACCAGACAGAUGCACAACAGCUACACGUACCUGUUGCAUGGCCCCCUAAAACACACAGACCCCCUUAAAUUCAACUGUGAAUAUAUUAAAAACUGUGUAUGACCCGGGUUGCAUUUUUAAUAUUGUCAUACAUGCGUAAAGAAAAGUUAACCGCUGUAUCGUGAAACUAAAAUAAAGCAAAACCACUCACCUGACAUAGAUAGCUUAAUACCAGAUACAGAUGAAUACCAGAUGCAUGACCUAUUAAAACGCAGACUCUAUUAAAAUGAACUGAGACUAUAUUAUGUGCAUGACUCGGGUGGCAUUUUUAAGCAAACCAGUUGUCGUACGCGCGAGAUGUUAACCACUGCGUCAUGACACUAAAAUAAAGCAAAACUACUCAUCCAGCAGAUGAAGGGAAAUUUCAAAUGGAAUGGGGACGGGACAGGAAGGCGUUUUGCAGGAGCGAUACUGUCACGUUUUACUGGUAUAGCAGCAGAAUAAAAAUCUUUUGCUUCAUUGCUAUGCUGCUAUUUAUAUCACAUUUACAUUUUGUACUAAAAAAAAAAAAAAAAAAAAAACUAAUUUUCAGCACAAUUAGCUUCUUCUGUCACUUUUACUAUAUGCUCGCCAUAUCCAUUCUGCAGCUACAUGCUAAUUACGUUAGCAUCCGCUUUGUACAAAGUUCAUUUGUCUAUAUAAGAGCUAAAUUUGAUUGAAUUGUUUGUAUAACAGGCAGAGAAGAGAGAGAGAAAAUUCAUUUUCAGCACAGUUAGCUUCUUCUGUCACUUUUAUGCUAGCCAUAUCCAUUCUGUGGCUACAUGCUAAUUACAUUAGCAUCUGCUUGAUACAAAGUUCAUUUGUGUAUAAAAGUCUUAAAUUUGAUUGAAUUAAUUUAGAGCCCUUCCCUUCGUCGCUCUGAGCACCAUUUCUGGUGCGAUGGUUAUCAUCACACCUUUUCUCUGGGCCAUCACUAGUAACAAAACAAACACACACCCACAGACACACAAGCCAAAGAAAAAGCAAAACAUGUGACGUUGGCUUGAUUGAAUCGAUGACCUUUAGUGUGACAUCAUCCUUGCUCUUUCCGUAUAUGGUCGUCUCAUGCACUCUUUCUUUCUGAACAGCAGGCUGAAAAGGGGCCUAGGAGACACCACACCCUUUUUUUUCAUCACUUCAUCCAUCAUCCAUCACUCACUCACUCUGCAUAUCUUACACAGAAGCUAUGCAAUGCAGGAACGCUCCCUCCCUCCCACCCUCCCUCUCACUUUAAAGCACUAUUUUUGAUCCUCGGACGAAAGAAACUGUUACCUUUAUCAAAGCGGGAUAUGAAUAAAAAGUGCAAUAUUGUAGCAUGUUUCUGUGCUUUAGAUUCCCUCCUUAACUGAUUUAUCUAUUUUAAUUUUUAGAAUUAAAAUUGAUGAUCUGCUCCAUCUUUUUCUGCUUUUUUUCGUUGUCAGUGGUCACGGGGGUGAGUGAGAGGAAUGCAUUCAAUGUACACGAUUCUCCUUCUGUUUGCUUUGCUCUCAAUUGUGCUGUGUUGUAUAUUUGGAGCCCUUCAAAGCGGUGAUGUCGUCAACCAAUCAAUAAAUAUAAAAUACACCCCGCUCACCCCGAGCAACUCCUGUGCAUCUCCACACCUGCAAAAACUUGCACCCUUACUUGUGAUUUACAGAUAGUUUGUGACAGGACAUAUCUUUACUGUUAUUCUGUAUAUAUGUGUUGUGCCCCUUACUUUUAUUUUUUUUAAAAAGCAGGGUCCCCACCCCCAAAUAUUUGUGACCCGGUUGCCAUUUUGGACUGGGACCCUCAGUUUGGGCAACCCUGCUUUCAGAAGCCGUGCAAUGUAUGAAGUUUGUGUAUUUAACUUAAAGACAUACUCUAGUGCAGUGAUAUAUGUAUAUGGAUGUCAGCGGAAUGUUUGAUACUGUGGUGUAGCAGAGAGAUUUUGUUUGAACUUCCCCCCCCAUGAACUCCCCCCAGUACAGGGAAAUGUACUGUUACUGUGGAUGCAACCAUGACUGCACCCUGCAGGACUGCUAUGACAUUGAUCACGUGCAGAAAUAAACUGCAGUGUACUGACAAGA